CCUACGGGUGGCAGCAGUAGGGAAUCUUCCACAAUGGGCGAAAGCCUGAUGGAGCAACGCCGCGUGUGUGAAGAAGGUCUUCGGAUCGUAAAACCCUGUCGUUGGAGAAGAAAGUGCGUGAGAGUAACUGUUCACGUUUCGACGGUAUCUAACCAGAAAGCAACGGCUAACUCCGUGCCAGCAGCCGCGGUAAUACGGAGGGGGCAAGCGUUAUCCGGAAUUAUUGGGCGUAAAGGGAACGCAGGCGGUCUGUUAAGUCAGAUGUGAAAGCCUUGGGCUUAACCGGAGUAGUGCAUUGGAGACUGGGAGACUUGAGUGUAGAAGAGGAGAGUAGAAUGCCAGGUGUAGCGGUGAAAUGCGUAGAGAUAUGGAGGAACACCAGUGGCGAAGGCGGCCCCCUGGUCGGUAACUGACGCUGAGGUGCGAAAGCGUGGGUAGCAAACAGGAUUAGAUACCCGUGUAGUC
rnacentral:rRNA from 1 species